UUGUUCCACAUGGUCAAGCUUGAGGGGGAGUGUUGAGAUGAGAGGAUAGAGAGAAGAUACAUUGAUAGAGGAAGAGUAUUUGGGCAGUCAGUAACUUUGGGGUUUUACCACAAUAACUUUAGUUUUUACUGUGGUAACUAAGUUAAAGGCUUAGGAAGUUACCUUGGAUCACUUUGGUGAGGAGAAGCACGCCCAAGAGGAGUCAGGAUAAGGGAGGAGCUGUUUGGAUAAGGUCUGGUCAUAGCUGGAAAGGUAAAGCUACUUUACAGCCUGUCCAAGCAUGUGAAGCCUCUCAGCAGCCAGCUAGCCUUGACUUCACAUGCUUUGAGUCCCAUUUCGAAAUCCCCUUUGUAUUAGCCUUAUCUCUUCAUAUAUAACUUGUAUCUGAGACAUUAAAUCAAUAAAAUGGAGUUUUGAGCAUUCUCUCUUGUUCUUUAUUCUCUUAGUCUCUCUUAAUCUCCAAAUCUCAUACAAACUACACUAAUCAUCUCUUGAUAUU
rnacentral:lncRNA from 1 species